rnacentral:lncRNA from 10 species
GCUGGGAGAAGUCAGGAGUGGAGAACAGCUCUGAGAAGUUACUGUUGUUCACCUGAACUGCCAGGCGCCGACAGAGUCCGGUCCUUCCAAUCAGGAAGGUCGGAAUCUCUGAUGUCAUAGGUCAUUCCAACCUGGCAACCAGUUUGAACAAAAACACAUGUAACUGCCAGGCUGAUCUCUUGUCCUGGAGAUCCUGGGUGAAUGGUAUCUCCUGCCACUGUCCCAACCUCAGACCACUGUCCAAAAGCAUCUUCAGGGUCUCCGCAUCCCUCUGUUCCCUGUCCCAGCAGAGGCUGUGUCCUCUCCACUCAAAGCUUGAAGCGUGUUGGGGUCUCCUCUUCUCUGUACAUGCCCGUUUCAGAGUCCAGUCUGGUGGGAGAGGGAUCAGGAUGGGAAAGAAAACUAGGGUAAGCAGAAACGAUGAAACCUUAUAAGAGUGAGAGUAUCAUGUACAAGAGAUCCCAGGAACAUUGACUUGAUGAAAAAGUCACAUCAGAGCACUCAAUUUGGCAGAGCUUUUCUGCCGAAUGUUUACUGAUAUUCACUGUCCGAGAUUCUGUACUGGGUGUAACGUGUCCUCUGCCCUAAGGCAUCUUUGAGUCCAAGAGAUAUUUUGAGGACUGGAAAUCAUCGGAAACUGCCCAUGAGCUCACACAUAUUUCCAAUGGUGUCCCCAGUUUCAGGGAGUCCACGGAUCACCUAAAGCCAGCCCCUCCAGUUUGGCUAAGAAACUCUAUAUAUCAAGUUUUGUAUCAUAUGUAUUGCUCUUAACUCAGAAAUUCCACCAUUUAUAGCAGUGGUUUAUUUAUUUAUACUAUUGAAGGAAAUGGUUUAUUUAUGAAUCUAUAUUAUGGAUAUUCUAUAAGAUACUGGGUGUACAAAAAGACUAAGUCGAAAAAUCUCAGCUGUGCACAGUGGCUCAUGCUUGCAAUCCCAUCUCUUUGGGUGGCCAAGGGAGGAAGACUGCCUGAGGCCAGCAGUUCAAGACCAGUGUAGGCAACAUAGCAAGACCCCAUCUCAAACAAAACAAAACAAAACAGAACAAAAUUAGCCAGGUGUCGUGGCUGGCACCUGUGUUCCAACAACUUGAGAGACUGAGGUGGCAGGAGGAUUGCUUGAGCCUAGGAGUUAGGGGCUGCAGUGAGCUGUGAUCGUGACACCGCACUCCAGUCUGGGCAACACAGCAAGACCUUGUGUCAAAAAAAUUUUUUUAAUUAAAUAUAAAAGAGUUUCAUGACAUUCAGAGACCAUCCAAAGAACCUGUGGGUUCCGGCCAGGCACAGUGGCUCACGCCUGUAAUCCCAGCGCUUUGGGAGGCCAUAGCAGGUGGAUCGCUUGAGGUCAGGAGUUUAAGAGCAGCCUGGCCAACAUGGUGAAACCCCAUCUCUUCUAAAAAUACAAAAAAUUAGUCAGGCAUGGUGGUGGGUGCCUGUAAUCCCAGCCACUCAGGAGGCGGGGGCAGCAGAAUGGCUUAAACUUGGGAGGCGGAGGUUGCAGUGAGCCAAGGUCGCACCAUUGCACUCCAGCCUGGGCAACAAGAGCAAAACUACAUCUCAAAAAAAAAAAAAAAACAAACAAAAAGAACCUGUGGAUGAGUUCCCACAUGGCUUCCUAACGGGCUGCGGCUCUCCUAGGAGUCUCUCGCUCAUGGGAAAGGCACAAACUGAAUGUGGAAGGAAAUCCCAUUGCUGUGGAAGUCCCAUUGUUAGGAAGCUCUGCUUUUCUGGAGUUCAAAUUUGCAUUCAUGACGCUUUAAACCGUCAGAGCUGGGUGUGUCCUCCUACAACAAAUCACUUUACUCUCUCUCUCUCCUAGUUAACAGGCUUUCAAAUAUUAGAACAUCCAUGUUCUGACCUCAUUAAAAUUGCUCUUUUGUGGAAUGAAAAGCUCUGAUUUAACCCGUCUUUAAGCCUGGUAUGCAUAUUCCUCUCUGUUCCGGCCACCUUGUCUAGACACACUACACUGAGGCAGUGCCCAUCUUAGAUGAUGUUGAUACAUUGUCAAAAAAUGGGCAAACCAGGCGCGGUGGCUCACACUUGUAAUCCCAGCACUUUUGGAAGCCGAUGCCGACAGAUAACCAGAGGUGAGGAGGUUGAGAUCAGCCUGGCCAACAUGGUGAAACCUGUCUGUUUUUCUGUAAAAAUACAGAAACAAUGAGCUGGGUGUGGGAGUGCACUUCUGUAAUUCCAGCUACUUGCGGGGCUGAGGCAGGAGAAUCACUUGAACCGGGAUGGUGGAGGUUCCAGUGAGCCGAGAUCACGACACUACACUCCAGCCUGGGCGACAGAGUGAGACUCCGACUCAAAAAAAAAAAAAAAGUGCCAGACAGCCCAGGUUUGGUCUGAUAUGUUCAGAAAAAAGCAAAACAGUCACCUCUCACCUUUUCUUUUCCUGCAAUGAUGCCGUUUAAUACAACAAUGGCUGUAGGUCUGCGGCAGAAAUAUCAUUCAAGUGAAACAGAAGGGCUUUCCUGGCUGGACACAGUGGUCACUCCUGCAAUCCCAACACUUUGGUUGGCUAAGGUGGGAGGAUUUCUUGCGGCCAGGAGUUCGAGGCUGCAGUGAGCUGUGAUCUACCACUGCAUUCCAGGCUGGGCAUCAGAGUGAGGCCUGUCUCUAAAAAAAACCCUUCACUCCCCAAAAAAAGGGAUUUUCAAAUACCAGCCUUUCAGCAUGAGGAUCACAUGGAGGAACAUUAAGACACAGAUGCUGGGACCCAGCCCUAUUGAUUGUAAUUAAAAAACUGAGGUGAGGCCUGAUUUAGCUCCAUCAUUGGAAUCCAUUCAGAUUUGAAAUUCUCUGAGUUGGACAGUGCAAGAGAGAUCCUAAAGAAAGCAAAGUCACCGUGGACUGAAAUGAGCUGACAAGGUUUUCUGAGCGUGGUGAAAUAUGAUCUGGGCCUUGCUUGGGAGGGCUGUGGCCAGGCCUUGAGUCCGUGGCUCAGUGGGACCUUCUGAAACAGCCUCCAAUCCGUGCCCCCACUUCAUUUGCUAGUGGAUGACCCCCUCCAGUGGCUUUGGUGCUGAUGGGAAUAAGUCGACCUGCAGCGGAAGUUCAGCCCAAGUUUUAGCCCAGCAGCUUCUCCACACCUGUCCGUGGUCUGGUCAUGCCGCCGUCUCUGCGGUUCUCUGCGGAGUCGUGGUUUCUGUACCUUGAAGAGAACUUCCCCUCUGGGACCCAGAAACCCAGUGAAUCCUCAGGAAAAAAGGGAAUGAAAUUACUGAAGACAACUCUGUGGCGGGGAGAUGGAAAAGAGGCUCUCUCUCUUUUUUUUUCCUAAUAUUUUGAGACAGAGUUUCGCUCUUGUCACCCAGGCUGCAGUGCAGUGGCUCCAUCUCGGCUCACUGCAACCUCUGCCUCCCAGGUUCAAGUGAUUCUCCUGCCUCAGCCUCCCGAGUAGCUGAGAUUACAGGCACCCACCACCACUCCCGGCUAAUUUUUGUAUUUUAGGGUUUCGUCAUGUUUGCCAGGCUGAUCUUGAACACCUGACUUCAAAUGAUCCACCUGCCUCUGCCUGUCAAAGUGCUGGGAAUACAGGCAUAAGACACUGCACCUGGCCUGUUUUUGUUUUUUAGAGACAAGGUCUCUGUUGCCUUGGCUGGGGUGCAGUGGUACAAUCAGCUCUCUGUUGCCUCCUGGGCUCAAGCAAUCCUCUUCUCUCACCCUCCCAAGUAGCUGAGACUACAGGUGCAUGCCUGUAGUAGAUAUAGCAUCUUGCUCUGUUGCCCAGACUGGUCUUGAACUCUUGGUCACAAGCGAUCCUCUUGCCUUGGCCUCUCAGAGUGCUGGAAUUACACACAUGAGCCAUUGAGCCCAACCAGAUAAGAUGAUCUUUAAGGGCCCUUCCCAUGGUACCAUAUCCAAGUCAGCGAGACUGUGGCUAUAGCAAGUUUAACAUAACCAGAUACGCUAGUAUUAUGGGCUGCAUGGUGUGCCCCCCACCCCUAAUUCAUGUAUUGAAGCCAUGACCCUCCAGACCUUAGAGGUGACCUUAUUGGAACCAGAGUCUUUACAGAGGUGAUCAAGUUAAAAUGAGGUCACUAGAGGCCAGGCACGGUGGCUCACACCUGUAAUCCCAGCACUUCGGGAGGCCGAGGCAGGCAGAUAAUGAGCCCAAGAGACCAAGACCAUGAUGUCCAACAUGGUGAAACCCUGUCUCUACUAAAAAUACAAAAAUUAGCCAGGCGUGGUGGUGUGGGCCUGUAGUCCCAGCUACUCAGGAGGCUGAGGCAAGAGAAUCGCUUGAACCCGGAAGGCAGAGAUUGCAGUCAGCCAAGAUCAUGCCACUACACUCCAGCCUGGGUGACAGAGUGAGACUCUAUCUCAAAAAAAUAAAAAUUAAAAAACUAAAAACCUACAGCACCGCCUUUUACAUAAUGCAAUGGUUUGGUAAGCACAUGCACCCCAGGGAGGUAGUGGCAGAUUCAGUCAACCUUCCCAGCAGCGUGGAGACGCAGUCAGGCAUAGCAGGUGUUGAUGUGGUUUGAACCCACAGCUUGGCUCAAAUCCACACUCCCCUACUUAGUACCGAGUGAAGCCACUUACCCUCUAAGUGCCUUACUUUUCUUUUCUUUUCUUUUUUCUUUUUUCUAGACAGAGUCUCGCUCUGUCACCCAGGCUGGAGUGCAGUGGCAUGAUCUUGGCUCACUGCAAACUUCGCCUUCCAGGUUCAAGCAAUUCUCCUGCCUCAGCCUCCCAAGUAGCUGGGAUUACAGGCGCCCACCACCAUGCCGGGCUAAUUUUUGUAUUUUUGAUAGAGAUGGGGUUUCACCAUAUUGCCCAGGCUGGUCUCGAACUCCUGACCUCAAGUGAUCUGUCUGCCUCGGCCUCCCAAAGUACUAGGAUUAGAGGCAUGAGCCACCACACCUGGCCACUUUUCUUAUCUAUAUUUGUUAUGUGGAUGACUUGUGUUAACGCAAAUAAGAUGCUGCUCAUCAUCUUUAAAGAAAAUAGGUGGCAACCUGUUAUAGCAAGUCCUGUUUUUAUUUGUACUUAUGAGGCUUUAAUUAAACACUAAGAAUUAAAAUGCACAUAAUAAUAGACUUUACCUCACAAACUGGCUUCAAUUAUUCGAUGAGACUUAUAUGUAUUACUUAAAUGAGGUUAAAUUUAACCUUUAAAAAAUGAUUUAUUGUGUGAGCCACCUCACUGAGCCCUCCACCUUUCAGCUGAACGCAGAAAAGUACAAUCUUUUAACCCAAAGCGUUCCUCACACUUAGGGUCAGGAAGAGCCCUUCAUGCCCUGGAGGCAACUACUAACCCUCUGCUAAACACUCUGACUCUGGGUGUGAGAAACACACCUACUGUGCCCCACAUAUUUUUCCAAAUACAACUUAAUUUAGCCUUCACGACAACCCUGGAGUGAAGGAUCAUUAACUUUCUUUCAUAGAUGUGGAAACUGAGACUCAGAGGCAGGAAAUGACCUCCUUCUGGAGGCUGCAAAUUCUUUGAUGCUCCUUUGAUCAACAGGUGGGAGCUGGCCAGAGGUGGUGGCUCAUACCUAUAAUCCCAGCACUUUGGGAGGCCAAGGUGGGAGGAUUGACUGAGGCCAGGAGUUUGAAACUAGCCUGGGCAAUAUAGCAAGACCUCAUCUCUACAAAAAAUACAAAAAUUAGCAGGGUGUGGUGGUGCACACCUGUAGUCACAGCCACUCGGGAGGCUGAAGUGGUAGCAUUGCUUGAGCCCAGGAGGUUGAGGCUGGAGUGAGCCAUGAUCAAGCCACUGCACUCCAGCCGAGGAGAUGGAGGUAGACCCUGUCUCAAACAACAACAAAAAAAUAGGUGAGGGUCAGCCAGGCAUGGUGGCUCACGCCUGUAAUCCUAGAACCUUGGGAGGCCAAGGUGGGAGGAUUGCUUGAGGCCAGGACUUCAAGACCAGCCUGGGCAGCCUAGCAAGAUCCCAUCCCUUAAAAAAAAGUUUUUAGGCUGGGCAUGGUCACUCAUGCCUGUAAUCCUAGCACUUUGGGAGGCCAAGGCAGGCGGGUUGCCUGAGCUGAGGAGUUUGAGACCAGCCUGGGCAACAUGGUGAAAUCCUGUCUCUACUAAAAUACAAAAAAUUAGCCAGGUGUGGUGUUGGGCACCUGUAAUCCCAGGUACUCAGGAGGCUGAGGCAGGAGAAUUGCUUGAACCCAGGAGGCAGAGGUUGCAGUGAGCCGAGAGCGUGCCACUCCACUCCAGCCUGGACAACAGAGCGAGACUCCGUCUCAAAAAAAAAUGUUUUUAAUUAGCCAGGUGUGAUGAUGCAUGCCCAUGUCCCAGCUACUUGGGAGGCUGAAGCAGGAGGAUUGCUUGAGCCUGGGAGGUCAAGGCUGCAGUGAGCUAUGAUUGCGCCCCUGCACUCCAGCCUGGGCAGCGGAGGGAGACCCUGUCUGAAAAUAAAAAAAGAGGUGGGGGCCUAUGACCCCCCCUUUAAUUUUGGCCCAACCUUAGUAACAGGAUAGUCAUUGAGUAGGGCAAAAGUGAUGUUAUGAUGUUUUUCAGCCUCCAAUUUACAGUCUAAAACAUGUACGCGGUGGCCCUGAGCUGUUGUGUAAAUGGACUCACUGCCCUGAGGCCACCAUGCUGCAAGGAAGCCCAAGCUAACCCUAGGAUGUGCCCUGAGACGACAUGAAGACGCAUCCCCAGCCAGCCUUCCACUACCCCAUCCUUCACUGCCCCAUUCUCACCCCCGCCCACCUCCUUACUCCCUCCACCCCUCCACCUGCCUCCAGCCAGAAUUGCACAGCCAACUACUUCCAGAAUCGCUGGUCCAAAGAAAUCACGACAGGCGCUAAGUUUGGGGCAAUCCAUUUAAUGCUACUAAGUUGUGGGAUGGUUUGUUUGAGCAGCCCCAGAUAACAAACAUUCCUUGAGGUCACACGCUAACCAAGCUGUGAUUCGAACACUGCCUCUCAAAUUCACGAGCAAAAGAGGGGGAAUUCUGUUUAAAAUGCCAAAAAGAACUCUUUCUUGCUUUUAUUAUUUUUAAUUUAUGUAUAAUAAUUGUAUGUUUAUAUAAUAAUUGUAAUAAUUUACGGGAUACAGGUGAUAUUUCAAUAUAUGUAUACAAUGUGUAAUGAUCACAUCAGGGUGAUUAGCGGAUUCAUUUCCUCAGUUAUCAUUUCUUUGUGUUGGGAACAUUCAAAAUCUGCUCUUCUACCUAUUUGAAUAUAGAA